UCCUUAUCGCUUUGCCCGCUAACAUACUACGUCGUGUGGGACUGUUGCGACUGCGGCAGCUUGUUGGAGUUUUUGUGAUGGCUGGACGUGUGUCUCUCCUGAAAACAAAUAAAGAUAUAACAUCUACGUAUGAAAUACUCCGCCUAUUAUAUCGAUUCUCAAAAUAAAGAGUCGCACUUGGAAGAGAUCGACAAUGGAGAGUGAUUAAUGGCGGGGAAUGACCUUGUCAAAGCUAAAUUACAUCGGAUUAAUUUUGGCGUAUACCUUCAUGCGGACAGGAAGCAUCAUCAUGUGUAAUAAUGACAUUCCAUUAUCUCGUGAUGCCCGAGGACAAAACAGAAUGCAGCGAGACAUCGCAUUGGAGUGCCUGCCUGGGGAACCCUUUUUCACGGUUCUUUCUGAUUUGUUCUUGCGCAAAUAUAUGAUACACGCAACUAAGCGACUAAUCGAAUGAAGCUAUACACGGAUCAAAAUCAAGCGUCACCCGAUCAGCAGAUAUUUUAUUUUACGCAUGCAGAUAUACACCCAGAUUAUACAGAUUCAUAUCCGGCGAGCGCAUGCUCAUGCUUAUAUCGGCAAGCGCGCACUCGUACAUACGCACAUACAUACAUACAUACAUCACAGAGAACAUUAAUAACACUAUUACAACAAUAACAGCGAUAAUGUAAUCCGGCGACAACGGUAAUUGUGCUCGUGAUAAUAACAUAGUAGCAACAGUAAGCCGUGAUGUACCCUUCACCAAGGAAACAAA